UUAUUAGGUUUGGUAACGUAGCUAACGCGUGAAGUUGACCGCCUGGGGAGUACGGUCGCAAGAUUAAAACUCAAAGGAAUUGACGGGGACCCGCACAAGCGGUGGAUUAUGUGGAUUAAUUCGAUGCAACGCGAAAAACCUUACCUACCCUUGACAUGUCAGAAAGUUUUUAGAGAUAGAUUCGUGCCCGAAAGGGAAUCUGAACACAGGUGCUGCAUGGCUGUCGUCAGCUCGUGUCGUGAGAUGUUGGGUUAAGUCCCGCAACGAGCGCAACCCUUGUCAUUAAUUGCCAUCAUUUGGUUGGGCACUUUAAUGAGACUGCCGGUGACAAACCGGAGGAAGGUGGGGAUGACGUCAAGUCCUCAUGGCCCUUAUGGGUAGGGCUUCACACGUAAUACAAUGGCGCGUACAGAGGGUUGCCAACUCGCGAGAGGGAGCUAAUCUCAGAAAGCGCGUCGUAGUCCGGAUCGGAGUCUGCAACUCGACUCCGUGAAGUCGGAAUCGCUAGUAAUCGCGGAUCAGCAUGUCGCGGUGAAUACGUUCCCGGGUCUUGUACACACCGCCCGUCACACCAUGGGAGUGGGUUUCACCAGAAGCAGGUAGUCUAACCGUAAGGAGGGCGCUUGCCACGGUGAGAUUCAUGACUGGGGUG
rnacentral:rRNA from 1 species